UUUCUUUGCUUUGCUAGAGAGAGAGAGAGAGAGUUGAGCUUCUUGAUUUCCAACGUUAGCUCACUGUUGAUCGUAUGAAUUUGAUCUCUAACUAUUGCCGAUGUCUCUAUUAUUCCUCAUUCAUCUUCAAUCUUUUUAACUUCCAAUUCAAUUUCUUCAUAAUUUCUUUAUUGAUAUUAAAUCAAGAAUGUUAAUCUUCAUGAAUCUUGAUCCUAUAAAUAUGAUUGCGGAGUCGCUAACGUUGAUUUAGGGUUUCAUGUUUCUGCUACCCGUGCUCGUUCGAAUUCGAAACACUGAAUUAGGGUUUCAUGAUUCUGCUGCCCGUCCUUGAUUCUUCAAUUCGAAGCGCUAAUUUCGGGUUUCAUGAUUCUGCUACCCGUGCUUGAUUCGAAUUCGAAACACUGAAUUAGGGUUUCAUGUUUCUGCUGCCCGUCCUUGAUUCUUCAAUUCGAAGCGCUAAUUUCGGAUUUCAUGUUUCUGCUAUCCAUGGUUGCUUUGAAUUCGAUUCCUAUCGGAAAUUAAUUACAAGGUUCUUGAUUGGACCUUCAAUGAAUCUGCGGUCCUCUCAAGUUUACCUAUGUCGCUGGUCCGAAUUUGAUUUCAAAUUUUUGAGUAUUUAUCUUUUGGAUUUUUUUCCAAUUGAUUUCUCUCAAGUUUUUCUUUUUUGUGAAGCAAACAUAUUCUGUGUCCAAAACCAUGUUUGACACGUGAAUAUUUUGUUCGCAACAUUAAAAUUUGAGUGCCAAAUAUGUGAAUCCUGACUGUUAAGCCUAUAAUGGCUAAUUUGGAAGUUGAAAAUUGCUAUAUGAAUUAUAAAGACAAAUUGGGAUAUUGUUUUGAGAUGACCCUAUUGUGGCUUGUAAUAUGAAUUCAUUAUUCAUAUGAAACAGUAUGGUAAAAAUUGAUGGCCUAAAUGCAAUUUCAAUAUUAAUGUUUAUUGGGAUAAUGAAUUGCAAGUAUAGAUGACCCUUGAUGCUAUGACUAUCUCAUCCUUAUCUUAUAAUGGUAAAUGGGAUCAUGAGUGUGUUUUGGUGACCUUAGAUGCAAAAUUGAAUAUCUGUCCUUUGAGAAAAUUGAAUGUUUGUCCCUUGAUGACUUUGAUAUUUUGAAUGAGAAAUUUGACAUUUGAGCCUUGAAUGGUUCAAUGAGUGAUUUCCAAACUAAGUUGUCCCUUUUGAUUUCGAGAAUGUCUAUGAGAUAGCAAACAAAAUUUCUCAAAAGAUUGUUUAUUAAUCUGCAUUUGUGAUUGAAGGCCUAGACUAUGGCGAUUUUCUAUGUUGGGGCCUUAAAUUUAUUUUAUCUUGGAGGGUGUAAAAUGUGAAAGAGCCAUAUAUCACAAAUUUGAUUUUCUAUUUCUCAAAUUGAUGUACAAUGUUAUAUUUGACAUUCUCUUUCAUAACAAUAUAAUUUAUGAUAUGGAUUUGGAAGCAUGUUGGCAAAUUAUCCAACUCAGCCGGAUAAAUUUCUGGUAUUAAUAUUUCACAUAAAUUUGAUAUGAAAUAUUGCCAAAAUAAUACAAUUAUAGAUUCACAAGCAUUGUUAUCAGGUUUCAUUAUCUGCUGCCUGAGAUUGCUUGAUUUCGACAGAGAUGUAGAAACAUAAACUAAAUGUAAGUUUUGCCACUCAUCUUAACUUAAUUUCUUAUGAUUUUAUGGUGGUUCACUUUUAUAUAUCUCUCUUUCCAUUCAAUCGUUUACCUUUGGAAUUUCUUAUUCCAAUUGAUUGAUUUGAUUAGAAUUUUUUCUGCUGCAAAGCACUUCCAUAUAUCACAGCUUUCAUUUUAUACUUUUUGAGUACCUAGGAUUUCCGCAUACUCUAAGUUGCAGAAGAAAGAACUGGAUUCUGUUGUCCAGAAGGCAUAAUAUCAGGAGUCAUAAGAUAUAUCUUAAAUUACAAUGAAGUGAUAAAUGUUACUUUUAUGUGUACCAAUGCUAAAGAAUUUGAGAAGGGUGUUAUCAUUUCUAUCACGUAAUAGAAUCAUAUUUGUAGUAAGUAAUCAGUCGGUUGCUAUUUGCUUGACGGAGGUCGUAACACAUGAAAUAUAGUCAGAGAUAACUCAUACUAUUUUUUCAUUUUAGCACAAUAGAAAUAUAGUCAGGAUAUGCUCCCUUCUAGUUGACAUAAACUAUUAGAUGGUUCAUAACAUCUUUCUAUUUAGAGCUUGCUUAACCGACGUAGGUUUCAAGGCAGUUGUUGGAUUGAGCCCAACCUCAAUACAAUAAAUAAUUCUUGUAACUAAUUGGUAUAACUAUACCAUGUUUAGACAUGGUUUGCAUAGGAUAAAUUGGCCUAGACGGUAAAGGUAUAGGAGGAGGAAAAGAAUAUUCUUUAUCUUUCGGAUUUGUUUUUAAUUGAUUUGUCUUCAGUAUAGCAAACUCAUUCUGACUCCAAAAUCAUGUUUGACACUUGAAUGUUUUGGGGUAGUUUUUUGUUCGCAACAUUAACUUCUAAGAUCUGGAUUAUCCAAGAAUGUGUGAUAUUGGUGUUUCUUUAUUAUUCAAGCCUAAGAAGGCUUACUUGGGCCAUAAAAUUGGAAGUUAUGUUUGGAUGACCCUCGCAAGAUGAUUUCUUUAGCCAAAAUUAUCCAAAUGUGGCUUUUAAUAUGAUUUCCUUAUUCCUAUGAAUUCAGUAUGUUACGUACCAAAUUCUUUUUUUUUUCCAUAUAAAAUCAGUUAUACAUGGAAAAAUUGAUGGCCCAAAUGCAGUUUCAAUAUGAAUUUUUAUUCAUAACUUGUAACUAGAAAUGCAAGUAGAGAUGACCCUUGAUGCAGUGACUAUAUGAUGCCUAUUCUAUAAUGGUAAACUAGGAUGAGUAUAGUGUGCCUUGGUGAUCUUAGAUGCAAAAUUGAAUGCGCAACUCUGACAUUUGAGCCUUGGAUUGAUGGUUGUUCUAAUGGUUGAAUAAGUGGUUUAGAAGAUAAAUUGUCCCUUUUGAUUUUGAGAAGGUCUAUGAGAUGGGAAACAAAAUUUCUCAAAUGGUUGUUUCAAGAAUUAUAAUGAUGCAAAUUAGAAAGCUUGUUGGAAUUUUCUACCAUGGCUGGACAAGCUAUUUUAAAAAAUAACCGUUCCUUUAAAUGUUGAGAUAAUUUAUGAGAUGCCAGACAUAAAUAGACCCUGAUGACUUUCUAUGUUGUGGCCUUCAAUUUAUUUUAUUAUGGAGGGUAGAAAUGACUUUGAGGUGACAUAGUUUCUUAUGUUGAGGAGGUCGUGAUGUCAGUUUUUGUUUGCCUGUCUGCAUAGUUCACAAUGAACUAGCUUGUUUCUUUCUUGAUUUGUUAUUCAGCUGUUGAUGCAUUCAAAUUGCUGUCCUUGCUAUAUUUGACUUUCUCUUUCUUAACAAAAGAAAUGUCAAAUUAUCCAAACACGCAGAAAAAUUGCAGGUAUUAAUAAUUCAUAGAAAUUUGAUUGGAAAUGUUGCCAAAUUAAUAUGAUCAUAGAGUCACAAUCAUUAUCACGUCUCAUGUUUCAAGCCUGUGAUUGCUUUGGAUUCAAAAAAGAGAUUUAGGCUUUUUGAUUAGACACUCGAUGAAAUCUGCACUCCUUUGAAGUUUAAUUUAAUUUCUUAUGAUUUUUCAGUGGUUCUUUUAUCACUUCUAUAUCUGUCUCUUUCCAUUUAUGGGUCCUUUUUCUUUGGAGUUUUUUUUCCAAUUGAUUUGACUGAAGUUUGUCUUCUGUGAAGUAGACACACGCUGUCUCCAAAUUUGUGUCUUACACAAAUGCUUUGGGGGUUGAUUAUUCAUUUGCAGCAUUAACAUCUUAAUCUUGAUUAUCGAAUAAUGUGCAAUCUCAAGAAUGCUUGUGUGAAACUUCUACCAUGGCUGAACAAGUAAUUUAAAAAAUAUAUUGUUUCUUUUUUUAUUUCGAGAAGCUUUAUGAGAUGGUAGACAAAAUUUCUCCAAAGAUUGUUUCAAGGACUAGAAUAAUGCUGUUCUUAAUGCUUGUUUGAAACUUCUACCAUGGUUGAACAAGUGAUUUUCAUUAUAUAGUUGUUCCUUUUAAUGUUGAGAAGCUUUGCGAGAUGUCGGAGAUAAUUCCAGAAGUCGUUCCAACAUGCCAAUUAAUGUGCAAUACUUCAAUUUUUAAUCUGCAUAAUCCUUAUCCAAACCAGGAAAUGAAGUGUGCUUAUUAAAGAUUUUGGUGACUUUCCAUGUUGAAUCAUUAAAAUUGAUGUCCUUGUUAUAAUCAAAGUUCUCUGUUCUCUUUCAUACCAGAGUUUUGGAUAUAGAUUUGGAAGCUUGUUGUAAUUGGAGAAAUGUCAGAUUAUCAAACUUACCCGGAGAAAAUUGCAGAGCAAAAGAUUCAAGAAGAUAAAUGUCAAAAGCUAAAUACAUUGCUGAAGGAGGGACUUCAAAUAGACCACCAUACUUUGAUGGCUCAUAUUAUUAUUUCUGGAAGAGGAAAAUGCAAUUGUUCCUAAAGUCACAAGAUAUUGGUGUGUGGAGAAUCAUCGCAGAUGGAGACUUCAUACCAAGAUUAGAUCAAAACGAUUCAACAUCGGCUGAAAAGAAAGAAGUAGAUGAAAAUCUAAGGUACUUCUAAACUCAAAAGCUCAAUUAUUUUUAUCAUGUGGUUUAAGCAGGGAAGAAAGUGAAAAAGUAGAUGAAUGUGAUACAGCCAAAAAGGUAUCAGACACAUUGCACACUCACCAUGAGGGAACAAGUCAUGUUAAGGAAAUAAGAAUUGAUAUUAGUAUUCGAAAGUUUGAAUUAUUUGAAAUGAAUGAAGGAUAAACAAUCGAUGGAAUGUACUCAAGAUUCAUAACUAUAGUGAACGAAAUGUGUUCCCUGGCAAAGCUCAUUCAGUACAAGACAUGGUAAGAAAUAUCAUGAGAUGUCUUCCAAUCAUACGGAGACCAAUGGUGGCAGCUAUAAGCCAAACCAAGAAUCUAGAAGUACUGGGCUUGGAAGAACUUAUUGGAACUCUAAGAGCGCAUGAAGUGUUGUUACUGGAAGAUAAACCUAUAAAGAAAGACAAAGUAAUAACCUUAAAAGCAACUCAAAGCUCACCAAGUAUUCAACAAACAAAUGAGAAAAGUGAUUCAGAAGAUAGCCAAGAAGAUGUUGAUGAAGAGAUUGCUCUCCUCACAAGAAUGAUGAGGAGAAGAGAUCAGAUCAAAAAAGGAUCCCCAGACAAAAAGGACAUCAAGACUGAAAUAGAUAAAAGCAAAAUCACUUGCUUUGGAUGGAACAAACAAGGACAUUACAAAACUGAAUGUCUCUUGAACAAAAAAGUGCCCAAGAAAUUUCCUUCAAGAAGAAGUCAAUGAUGGCAACUUGAGAUGAUUCUGAUGAAUCAGAAACAGAUGAACCUGAAGAAGCAAAUUUGUGUUUGAUGAGAAACAUUGAAGAUACAGAGGAUGGAUCUCCAGAUGUCAAGAAAAGGCCAUGGUUUUUGGACAGUGGCUGUUCAAGGCAUAUGACGGGUGACAAGACUUGCUUCAUGUCAUUUAUAAAAAAGGAUGGAGAAUCCGUAACAUUUGGAAACAACGAUCAAGCCAACAUCAAAGGCAAGGGAACCAUAGGUAAAAUAAAUUCUGUCAAAAUCAAUGAUGUUCAAUAUGUUGAAGGAUUGAAACAUAACAUUCUCAACAUUAGUCAACUCUGUGAUAAUGGUUUUGAAGUUAUUUUUAAACCAAACAUAUGUGAAGUGAGAAUGACAAAUUCUGGUGAAAUCAUAUUUUCUGCAUCCAGAAAGAAAAACCUUUACAUUUUAUACAUUGAAGAGCUAUCAGUUGAAUCUUGCCUCAUGUUCAUAAAUAAAGACAAAUGGAUAUGGCAUAAGAGAACUGGACAUUUGAGUAUGAAAACAAUUUCAAAUUUGUCAAAAUUAGUUCUUG